rnacentral:rRNA from 1 species
CGCCAGACUCCUACGGGAGGCAGCAGUGGGGAAUAUUGCACAAUGGGGGAAACCCUGAUGCAGCGACGCCGCGUGAGCGAUGAAGUAUUUCGGUAUGUAAAGCUCUAUCAGCAGGGAAGAAAAUGACGGUACCUGACUAAGAAGCCCCGGCUAACUACGUGCCAGCAGCCGCGGUAAUACGUAGGGGGCAAGCGUUAUCCGGAUUUACUGGGUGUAAAGGGAGCGUAGACGGCUGUGCAAGCCAGAUGUGAAAGCCCGGGGCUCAACCACGGGACUGCAUUUGGAACUGUGUGGCUGGAGUGUCGGAGAGGCAGGCGGAAUUCCUAGUGUAGCGGUGAAAUGCGUAGAUAUUAGGAGGAACGCCAGUGGCGAAGGCGGCCUGCUGGACGAUGACUGACGUUGAGGCUCGAAAGCGUGGGGAGCAAACAGGAUUAGAUACCCGCGUAA